rnacentral:lncRNA from 1 species
UCAUUAUCAAUAGAAUUGCUCGAGUUACAAAGACUUCAUGUACUGGUUUAGCUUCGUUCAAAUUAAUAAUUUAUAAAAUAUGUGUUUCAAUUAGAGUAUCAACAAGAAGAAAUUGAACCUUGCUAAUGAUAUAUUUGACCCUAUUUGGUAAGAAUUAAAAGAUUUUAACCCUGGCUUCGGCUCCAUUUUAUUGAGAUUUUAAGGAGAAAAAAAUGUAUUUUGACAUAGUAAUUUUUUAAGAGUUUGGUUAAAAAAGAAGAAAUUUUUUGAAUUUACGUGUAAUAUUAUUUUAUUGAAAAAUGUAUUGAAAUUAAAAUGGAGCCCAAAUGGAAGCUUAAUCUAAGUCCAAGUUAAUUUUAUGGGAUCCACAAAUUUUCAAUCACACAUUUAAUCAACGUUUAUCAAAAUUUAUUAAAAAUCUGAUUUUAAUCUCCAGACAAAGGCCUAACUUAAUUCUCAAUCAUUUUCAUUUAGUUCUAUCUUUUUCCUUCUUCUAACUUUUAUCCCUUCCCCAAAAAAGAAACAUUUUGACCAAAAAAACACUUAAAGGUAUGGAAUUUCAGAAUUUCUAAUGAAACGCCUCUAU